rnacentral:rRNA from 1 species
UACAUCACCGGCGGACGGGUGCGUAACGCGUGGGAAUGUGCCUAUUGGUUCGGAACAACUGCGGGAAACUGCAGCUAAUACCGAAUGUGCCCGUAAGGGGAAAGAUUUAUCGCCAAUAGAUCAGCCCGCGUAGGAUUAGCUAGUUGGUGAGGUAAUGGCUCACCAAGGCUCCGAUCCUUAGCUGUUCUGAGAGGAAGAUCAGCCACACUGGGACUGAGACACGGCCCAGACUCCUACGGGAGGCAGCAGUUGGGAAUCUUGGACAAUGGGGGAAACCCUGAUCCAGCCAUGCCGCGUGAGUGAUGAAGGCCUUCGGGUUGUAAAACUCUUUCGACGGGGACGAUAAUGACGGUACCCGUAGAAGAAGCUCCGGCUAACUUCGUGCCAGCAGUCGCGGUAAUACGAAGGGGGCUAGCGUUGUUCGGAAUUACUGGGCGUAAAGCGCGCGCAGGCGGCUAUC